CUCAUGUAAAAUAUAUGACUUUGUGUAAGGAUCAGGCGAACGAGGUGCAUGAUUUUUUUCUGAUUUAUGGGCCUGGAGACGGAUUAUUCAUAGCAGAGCAGCUGUGUGGAAAGAUUCAUCCGCUGCAAAAUGUGAUUGUACAUCAGGCAGUGUGUGGGAACGGAGCUAUGACUAAUGGCUGCUUUACAUAUAAAUGAGAAGGUUUGUGCUAGGAACUGUAAAAAAAUACAAUCACUCAGCUGACGGGCAGGCUCCUUAUCGUGGAUGCAGGAGAGGGACCACCAGAAAGGCUGUGAAUCCUCCAUGGGCUGAGACUGUGUCUUCAUGUGUUCAGCAUGGUGGCCAUAGUAUGUUUGACAGUGCCACAGAAAACCGGAUAUGGGACUAGAGAGACAGCUCAGCAGCUAAAGGCUCGGAGCACACGUCGGGAAGCUGGCAGGAAGACCGUGAGAGCCGGAGGAUGGAAGGAGAGCUGUGAAUGCUGUGCUCUGGACGUGACACGGAAGUUGGACUCGUGAAGUCCCAGCAGCCGCAGAUGUCUGCACAAGACCUGUAUGAAAUCAAGCCAGUCAACGUUCCAACGUGAGUGGAAGCCGGGCUCACAACGCUCCACCUCUAGCUGAGCGGCUGUUAGCCAGAGAUGGCUUCUGCAGAAGGUGGGGGAAUUUCUCUCUAAGGAUGUGGUCACCGGUACGUUCUUCGUUUCCCAGUGGAUGCUCUCACACACAUUGGCAUAUGGGCAACACUAACUGGACUCAGUUACAAAAGCAAAACAAAAAACCAACCAAACCAAAAGACCUCAAAACCAACACAAAACAAAAACUCAAAACCCAGAACAAAACAAAACAGCCCAGGAAGUCUAGCAGGGCAGAGGUGGAAUUGCAGGGGGAGAACGGGGAUGGAUAUAAUGAAAAUACAGAGUGAGGUCUGGCAAGGUGGCUCAGAGGUUAAGAAGUUAAGAGUGGGGGCUGGAGAGAUGGCUCAGAGGUUAAGAACACUGGCUACUCUUCCAGAGGUCCUGAGUUCAAUUCCCAGCCUCCACAUGGAGGCUCCUCUGGUGGGCAGGCGUACAUCCAGGCAGAAUACUAUACAUAAUAAAAAGUGAAUAAAUCUUAAGAGGAGGAGGAGGAGGGGCAGUUGUUGCUCUUCCAGAGGAUUCAGAUUUGGUCCACAGUGUCCAUAGGACGAUUCAUAACCAUCCUUAGCUCCACUUCCAGGGGAUUCAAUGACCUCUUCUGACCUUCAUGGAUCAUGUAGGCAAAACAAUCACACACACGAAAUUUAAAAAAUUAAAUGAAAAAUACA